rnacentral:rRNA from 1 species
GACGAACGCUGGCGGCGUGCUUAACACAUGCAAGUCGAACGGAAAGGCCCUGCUUUUGUGGGGUGCUCGAGUGGCGAACGGGUGAGUAACACGUGAGUAACCUGCCCUUGACUUUGGGAUAACUUCAGGAAACUGGGGCUAAUACCGGAUAGGAGCUCCUGCUGCAUGGUGGGGGUUGGAAAGUUUCGGCGGUUGGGGAUGGACUCGCGGCUUAUCAGCUUGUUGGUGGGGUAGUGGCUUACCAAGGCUUUGACGGGUAGCCGGCCUGAGAGGGUGACCGGCCACAUUGGGACUGAGAUACGGCCCAGACUCCUACGGGAGGAAGCAGUGGGGAAUAUUGCACAAUGGGCGGAAGCCUGAUGCAGCAACGCCGCGGGCGGGAUGACGGCCUUCGGGUUGUAAACCGCUUUCGCCUGUGACGAAGCGUGAGUGACGGUAAUGGGUAAAGAAGCACCGGCUAACUAC